GAUCUGACCACAAAGAAGAUUGUGCUAAGGCUGGAAUGUGUUGAGCCUAACUGCAGAUCCAAGAGGAUGCUGGCCCUUAAGAGAUGCAAGCAUUUUGAACUGGGAGGAGAUAAGAAGAGAAAGGGCCAAGUGAUCCAGUUCUAAACUUUGGGAUAUUUUUCUUUUAAUUUUGAAGAGACAAUGUUGAAGCCAUAGAAAAAUUACCUGAGGGAAAAGAAACACAGUGAUAUGCUU